rnacentral:siRNA from 1 species
CGGUGCGGAUUAUGGAAUAUAUA